GGGUGUAGCUCAGUAGUAGAGUAUGUGCUUAGUUAGCAUGUACAAGGUCCUGGGUUCAAUCCCCAGUACUUCCA
rnacentral:tRNA from 1 species